CUUCUUUUGUCCUAGAUGGCUAUUGCAAACCCCCGACCACAACUCAGCCCUGGCUCUCACAGCACUUUCAGUAACCAAUCCCUGAGAUGGAAAGAGCACA